CUUUUUUUUUUUUUUUUUUUUAAUCAUUUUAAUAUUUGUUUCAGUCGACAGCUUUAAAAACUAUGUUUCUAUAAUGAUUAUAAGGUGUAAGUUAGCUGAUAGUAGUAAAUAAGCAUUUAACUAAUAUAUAUAAAUAAAUAUUAAAUAAGUAUAAUUUAACUAAACCUUUAAAACUUGUCAUAAACCAACAAAAAUCAAAGAGAAAUAGAUUCAUCUUCAGGAGCCACACAAAGUCAGAAUACAUUUUUUUUUCUUUUGCAAUUCAAAAUUUUUUAAAAGCAUUAAACUAUUAAAA
rnacentral:misc_RNA from 1 species